rnacentral:misc_RNA from 1 species
AACCUUAUGGACCUGCGGGCGUAUACCUGCGGAGGGAUCAUUACCGAGUUAGGGUGUGUAGCGAUACCGCCCGACCUCCCAACCCUUUGUUUACAUGACCUGAUUGUUGCUUCGGCGCGGCCGGCUCGUCUUCACGGACGGCCGCCUGGGUUUCACCGCCCGGGACAGUGCCCGCCGAUGGCCCCAACCAAACCAAAAUUCUUGAUACCAAAAACAUGUCGUCUGAAAACGUUAUGAUUA